CGCAUCUGUGCAUGCAGCAUAUCAAUAAGCGGAGGAAAAGAAACUAACAGGAUUCCCUUAGUAACGGCGAGUGAAGCGGGAAGAGCUCAAAUUUGAAAUCUUCAAGGUUUUACCUUGACGAAUUGUAGUUUAAAGAAGUGUUUUCUGUUGAAGUUUUGGUAAAAGUUCUUUGGAAUAGGACAUCAUAGAGGGUGAGAAUCCUGUAUUUGACCAUUAUUUUCAGCUGUGUGAUACACUUUCAAAGAGUCGGAUUGUUUGGGAAUGCAGUCCAAAAUGGGUGGUAAAUUUCAUCUAAAGCUAAAUAUUGGCGAGAGACCGAUAGCGAACAAGUACCGUGAGGGAAAGAUGAAAAGAACUUUGAAAAGAGAGUUAAACAGUACGUGAAAUUGUCAAAAGGGAAGCGUUUGACACCAGUGUUGUUUUCUCGAAAAUCAAUUAAAAAGAGUUUGAUUUUGUUGUGUAUUGACCUUAACAGCUUGCAUUUCAAUUUUCUUGCUUUUUUUAAUGCACUUUUCGUUUAACAAGUCAACAUCAGUUUCUUUUGUUGUAAAAAGGUCAUUGGAAGGUGGCUUUCUUUUCGGAGAAAGUGUUUAUAGCCUUUGACUCCUGCAAUCGGAGAGACUGAGGUCUGCAGCGUAGAUCCUUCGGGGUUAGAUACAUUUGUGCUAAGUUAUAGCUUUUUAUAGACAACUUGUUGACUAUGAUUAGUCUUGUAGCUUACUCGCUUAUGCUAUUUUACCUACGCUUAGGAUGUUGACGCGCGUGUGUGCGUG
rnacentral:rRNA from 1 species